UGGGGAAUUUUGGACAAUGGGCGCAAGCCUGAUCCAGCCAUGCCGCGUGCGGGAAGAAGGCCUUCGGGUUGUAAACCGCUUUUGUCAGGGAAGAAAUCCUCUGAGUUAAUACCUCGGGGGGAUGACGGUACCUGAAGAAUAAGCACCGGCUAACUACGUGCCAGCAGCCGCGGUAAUACGUAGGGUGCAAGCGUUAAUCGGAAUUACUGGGCGUAAAGCGUGCGCAGGCGGUUGUGCAAGACAGGUGUGAAAUCCCCGGGCUUAACCUGGGAACUGCACUUGUGACUGCACAGCUGGAGUGCGGCAGAGGGGGAUGGAAUUCCGCGUGUAGCAGUGAAAUGCGUAGAUAUGCGGAGGAACACCGAUGGCGAAGGCAAUCCCCUGGGCCUGCACUGACGCUCAUGCACGAAAGCGUGGGGAGCAAAC
rnacentral:rRNA from 1 species